GAUAAAAAGGGGCGAAAGGUGUUUCCUGAGGGAGGAGAACCUGGGUAUCUCCUCCAGCCCAGGACUCUUUGUUGCUGUAUUCGCCUCAUGUUUCUGCAAGAGUUUUUUUUAUAGGAAGAAACCACUCACCCGUGGGCUUUCCCACCUAACCAAGGCAGGACAGCACCCACUGUGAGCCCGCGGCCCCGCUCCCUCCACGGAGGAGGCGGCUGUCUGGCAGAGGAAAGCCCCCCUCCGGCCCUGCCCACCGUCUUCGUGAGGAAAAACAUGUGUGUUAACGCCUGCUUGUGGCAAGCUGCAUCUCCCCACACAAUUUAGUGCUAUGACGAAGUCUCAUUCAGUACUGAUGUGAUUACAACACAAGCUUCAGGUAACAGAAAAAAUAAACACACAUCACAUAAGUAUUGCCAACUUCAACUUUAAUAAUGGAACCAUCUUUUUUUUUUUUUUGCCAUUUCAGUAAUAACUUUAAGGGGAAUAAAAACUUCCCUACAAAAAUAAAACUAAGCUUGUCAAAAUUAUAAA